AAGUAGAUGUGAGAGUUUUGGCAGAUAAUAGAGAAAUCGAAGACUGUGUUCCGUCUCAGUCAGAAUGGAUCUCGAUCUCUCUAUAGCUUUGAUCUUCAGGAUGGAAGAGCUGCAGAGGCACUAAAAGGCCACGGCCACUGUCUACCGGACAGCAGUGAUAUGGGAGGGGCUUGAAGGCGAUGGCGAUGAAUCAGCAAAUGAUACCUACCGUCUGUGAUAAGAGCCCUG